rnacentral:rRNA from 1 species
UACAGAGGGUGCGAGCGUUGUCCGGAAUCACUGGGCGUAAAGGGCGCGUAGGUGGUGACCUAAGCGUGCGGUGAAAGCCCGAGGCUCAACCUCGGGUCGGCCGUGCGAACUGGGUCACUGGAGCAGAAUAGAGGCAGGUGGAAUUCCGGGUGUAGCGGUGGAAUGCGUAGAGAUCCGGAAGAACACCGGUGGCGAAGGCGGCCUGCUGGGUUCUGGCUGACACUGAGGCGCGACAGCGUGGGGAGCAAACAG